rnacentral:rRNA from 1 species
GAGGGUGGGUAGUCCGCACGAGCGCACCCUAUCUUUAUUGCCAGCACAUUAUGGUGGGGACUCUAAAGAAACUGCCCGCGCAAGCGGUGAGGAAGGUGGGGAUGACGUCAAAUCAUCACGGCCCUUACGUCCUGGGCCACACACGUGCUACAAUGGUAGGUACAAAGGGCAGCUACUUGGCGACAAGAUGCUAAUCUCUAAAACCUAUCUCAGUUCGGAUUGGAGUCUGAAACUCGACUCUAUGAAGCUGGAAUCGCUAGUAAUCGGAUAUCAGCCAUGAUCCGGUGAAUACGUUCCCGGGCCUUGUACACACCGCCCGUCAAGCCAUGGAAGCUGGGAGUGCCUGAAGUCGGUAACCGUAAGGAGCUGCCUAGGGUAAAACUGGUAACUGGGGCUAAGUCGUAACAAGGUAGCCGUACCGGAAGGUGCGGCUGGAACACCUCCUUUUU